UUGAUCCUGGCUCAGAACGAACGUUGGCGACGCGUUUUAAGCAUGCAAGUCGAGCGUGAUCAUAGAGCUUGCUCUAUGUGAAAGCGGCGAACUGGUGAGUAACGCGUAGAUAACCUGCCUCUAAGUGGGGGAUAGCCUCUGGAAACAGGGAUUAAUACCCCAUAGACCCUUUUCACACAAGUGGAGUAGGGUAAAGCUUCGGCGCUUAGAGAUGGAUCUGCGUCCUAUUAGCUAGUUGGUAGGGUAAAAGCCUACCAAGGCGAUGAUAGGUAGCCGACCUGAGAGGGUGACCGGCCACAUUGGGACUGAGAUACGGCCCAGACUCCUACGGGAGGCAGCAGCUAAGAAUCUUCCGCAAUGGACGCAAGUCUGACGGAGCGACGUCGCGUGAAGGAUGAAGGCCUUCGGGUUGUAAACUUCUUUUAGCACCGAGGAAUGACUGACUGUAGGUGCUGAAUAAGCCUCGGCUAAUUACGUGCCAGCAGCCGCGGUAAUACGUAAGAGGCAAACGUUGUUCGGAUUUACUGGGCGUAAAGGGUGAGUAGGCGGAGCUGUAAGUCUGAGGUGAAAGACCGGGGCUCAACCCCGGAAACGCCUUGGAUACUAUAGCUCUUGAGCAUAGUAGAGGAUGACGGAAUUCCUGGUGUAAGGGUGGAAUCUGUAGAUAUCAGGAAGAACACCGAUGGCGAAGGCAGUCAUCUGGGCUAUAGCUGACGCUGAAUCACGAAAGCCAGGGGAGCGAACGGGAUUAGAUACCCCGGUAGUCCUGGCCGUAAACGUUGUACACUAGGUGUACUCGGUUUAUCCGUGUGCGCCGUAGCAAACGCAUUAAGUGUACCGCCUGGGGAGUAUGCUCGCAAGGGUGAAACUCAAAGGAAUUGACGGGGGCCCGCACAAGCGGUGGAGCAUGUGGGUUAAUUCGAUGAUACGCGAAAAAUCUUACCUGGGCUUGAAAUGCAAGAGGUAUGGCGUAGAUAUAUGUCAGCCCGAAAGGGCCUUUUGCACAGGUGCUGCAUGGCUGUCGUCAGCUCGUGUCGUGUAUAUGUUGGGUUAAGUCCCGCAACGAGCGCUACCCCUACCCUUUGUUGCCACCGGGUUAUGCCGGGCACUCUGAGGGAACAGCCUGUUACAUAGCUAGGAGGAAGGUGGGGAUGUACGUCAAGUCCUCAUGGCCCUUUUGUCCAGGGCUACACACGUGCUACAAUGGGCAAUACAAAGAGAAGCAAUACCGCGUAGGUGGAGCAAAUCUCAAAAAGUUGUCCUCAGUUCGGAUCGGAGUCUGUAACUCGACUCCGUGAAGCUGGAAUCGCUAGUAGUCGCAGAUCAGCACGCUGCGGUGUAUACGUUCCCGGGCCUUGUACACACCGCCCGUCACACCACUCGAGUUG
rnacentral:rRNA from 1 species